rnacentral:piRNA from 1 species
UGAGAUGAUGAAUCCUUUCUGAUCA